rnacentral:lncRNA from 1 species
GAAAUACCUGUGGUCACAGCCUAUCAGAUCAAGGCAUUUAAGAGCCCAGUGGCAGUGGUUUUAUCUCGGUUGAGGCAGCGGCGUGCAGCUGAAGCCAGUUCUCCUGAUUGAGUGCACAGUUUGGGAGGCAUAGUGAUGCUGGUUCACAAGCUAGUGUGUGUAGUACUGGUGGCCUCAACAAUAGGCCGCUCAGAGGGGGUUCCUCAAUACAUCCUUGGCCAGUGGAUCACAGAUGACAAUCGGCAGUGUGAAGGCUGUGACAGACAAUAUCUAGAGAUCGAGGAGACUGCAUAUCCCAGCGGUCCACCAGUAAUGUCUGAACUGCAGAAAAUGGAAGACCAGCAUUUUUUAACUUCUCCUUCAGUGCCAUUUCUCAUGACAGAACAAGAUUCACCUGGAGAGGAGCAGGCUGUGUGGAAGGUGUUCUUGAUAGUGGCCAUUUUGCUGCUGUCUGCAACGGGAACUCUGGCUGUGACCUGUUACCUUUGUUUCUGGGACGUACACAAGAGCAAAUAUCAGCCUCUUAGAGAACUGUCUGCUUUAAUCUAA